GACGAACGCUGGCGGCGUGCUUAACACAUGCAAGUCGAACGGAAAGGCCCUGCUUUUGUGGGGUGCUCGAGUGGCGAACGGGUGAGUAACACGUGAGUAACCUGCCCUUGACUUUGGGAUAACUUCAGGAAACUGGGGCUAAUACCGGAUAGGAGCUCCUGCUGCAUGGUGGGGGUUGGAAAGUUUCGGCGGUUGGGGAUGGACUCGCGGCUUAUCAGCUUGUUGGUGGGGUAGUGGCUUACCAAGGCUUUGACGGGUAGCCGGCCUGAGAGAGUGACCGGCCACAUUGGGACUGAGAUACGGCCCAGACUCCUACGGGAGGCAGCAGUGGGGAAUAUUGCACAAUGGGCGGAAGCCUGAUGCAGCAACGCCGCGUGCGGGAUGACGGCCUUCGGGUUGUAAACCGCUUUCGCCUGUGACGAAGCGUGAGUGACGGUAAUGGGUAAAGAAGCACCGGCUAACUACGU
rnacentral:rRNA from 1 species